rnacentral:rRNA from 1 species
AUUGAACGCUGGCGGCAUGCUUUACACAUGCAAGUCGAACGGUAACAGGGUGCUUGCACCGCUGACGAGUGGCGAACGGGUGAGUAAUGCGUCGGAACGUGCCGAGUAGUGGGGGAUAACGCAGCGAAAGUUGUGCUAAUACCGCAUACGUACUGAGGUAGAAAGUGGGGACCUUCGGGCCUCACGCUAUUCGAGCGGCCGACGUCCGAUUAGCUAGUAGGUGAGGUAAAGGCUCACCUAGGCGACGAUCAGUAGAGGGUCUGAGAGGAUGGUCCGCAACACUGGGACGUGGACACGGGCCAGACUGCUACGGGAGGACGCAGUGGGGAAUUUUGGACAAUGGGCGAAAGGCUGAUCCAGCCAUGCCGCGUGUCUGAAGAAGGCCUUCGGGUUGUAAAGGACUUUUGUCAGGGAGGAAAUCCCUAGUGCUAAUAACACUGGGGGAUGACAGUACCUGAAGAAUAAGCACCAGAUAACUACGUGCCAGCCGCCGCCGUAA